UUAACAGGAAAAAUUGGAACAGUUUUCAAAGAAUCCUUUGAUCUCAGUCCAACAAUAUUUUCAGUCAUCGUCAUGGCUCCAGGAGAAACCGAAGGUGAUAUCGAUGCCCCUUCCUGUUUGUUAGAAGCCUCAGCGAAAUCAGCGGUAGGAGCUGGUAACAUUUGCCCAGAACCAUCAUCCUGAGACUUUAGUGGUCGACUUUCUUUGUUUAUCUCAAGCAAAUCCUUCUCCACAAGGGUUUCCGAAUCAAUGGCGACAGUGCCUUGAGCUGAAGUAUCAUCAGACUGAUCAACAGGAGUAAUGCGACAAUCCAAAUCAACACCGCUAGAUCUAUGGAUUUCAGGUGACUCAGUUUUCUUUGGAGAACCUUGUUCAUUGGAUACUGAAUGCAUUUUGGAAUCUUCAACAACAUUAGCAGGAAAAACUGGAACAGAUUCCAAGGAAUCGUUUGAUCUCAGUCCAACCAUAUUUUCAAUCAUCGUCCUUGCUCCAGGAGAAACCGAAGGUGAUAUCGAUGCCCCUGCCUGUUUGUUAGAAGCCUCAGCGAUAUCAGCGUUAGGACCAGCAUCCUCAGACUCUAGUGGUCGACUUUCUUUAUUUAUCUCAAGUAAAUCCUUCUCCACAAGGUUUUCCGAAUCAAUGGGGAUAGUGCCUUGACCUGAAGUAUCAUCAGGCUGAUCAACAGGAGUAAGGCGACAAUCCAAAUCAACACCGCUAGAUCUAUGGAUUUCAGGUGACUCAGUUUUCUUUGGAGAACUCUGUUCAUUGGAUGCUGAAGGCAUUUCGGAAUCUUCAACAACAUUAACAGGAAAAAUUGGAACAGUUUCCAAAGAAUCCUUUGAUCUCAGUCCAACAAUAUUUUCAGUCAUCGUCAUGGCUCCAGGAGAAACCGAAGGUGAUAUCGAUGCCCCUUCCUGUUUGUUAGAAGCCUCAGCGAAAUCAGCGGUAGGAGCUGGUAACAUUUGCCCAGAACCAUCAUCCUGAGACUUUAGUGGUCGACUUUCUUUGUUUAUCUCAAGCAAAUCCUUCUCCACAAGGGUUUCCGAAUCAAUGGCGACAGUGCCUUGAGCUGAAGUAUCAUCAAUCUGAUCAACAGGAGUAAUGCGAGAAUCCAAAUCAACACCGCUAGAUCUACGGAUUUCAGGUGAAGCAGUUUUCUUUGGAGAACCCUGUUCAUUGGAUGCUGAAGGCAUUUUCGAAUCUUCAACAACUUUAACAGGAAAAACUGGAACACUUUCCAAG
rnacentral:lncRNA from 1 species